CUUUGGAAUUAAAGUUUUUAACUUUUUAGUUAAAAAAUUAAUACAAAUAUAGUGUACUUUUUUAAUCAAAUCUUUGUUGAAUCUCAAAAAUUUAAAAUUUUUAUUUUAAUUAUCAACAAAGUCGGAUAGUCUCCAGUUUUGAGAAAGCUUUUUUCUCAACGAUUGUUUUUUGACAACUGAAUACAUACAAUCUUUCUGAUCUAUAUCUUUUAUAGAAACUGUUAUUCUAUAUUAGAUUGUAGUGAAAAGAUUAAACCGAGUUAACUAAAUCAAAAAAAUAGAUUACAUAUUAAUACGUUAUAAAUUAA
rnacentral:misc_RNA from 1 species